AAGACGACUGGACUUUUUCCUUCUCAAACUUUUCCGCAGGUUUCCUCAGGUGUUGGCAACAGACGGGGAGCUCGCCUCGGUCCUGGUCCCCCAACCCCUGGCCAGCAGCCCCAGAAGGCCGCGGCGGAGCAGCCCGUGCCACGCGCCGUGCGUCUGCCAGGCGCGUCCGCGGAGCCAGGCGAGCCGGGGGCCACUGCGGGGGGCGGGGGAGGCGGACGAACUGAGGGACGCACCCGCGAGCACUCCGCCCCGGACCGGGCGCGCGACGGCCCGGGAUCCCUCGGGCCGGAGGAGCAGCGCACGGGGCCGGACCGGGCCGGGCCGGGCCGGGCCGGGCCGGGGGCCCCGCCUCCCCCGCCCGCCACCCCCGCCCACUUGGGCGCCCGUGAUUGGCUCCGCCCGCCCCUGGCUGCGCGCCGAAGCCCGCCUCCCUCGCAGCUAAAGCAGACGGUACCCGGAGCGGAGCGAGCCAGAAGGGAGCAUGGUCCCCGCGCCGCGGCCGCGCCAGCCCCCGCGCCGCCGCCGCCGCCGUCCCCGCCACCGCGGAUCUCGCCGCAGCUCCAGCCCCAGCCCCGGCCCCGUCUCCGCAGCGCCUGUCCGCAGCCCCGGCGGCCGCCGCGCCUGAGCGCAGCCCCCGCCCGGAGCCCGAGCCGCGAGCCGGGAGCCAGCCCCAGCCCCGCGGCCGCCGCGGCUGCGGGGAGAGGGCGGGGGCGAUGCUGCCGGAGCCGCCGCCGCCGCCGCCGCCUCGAUGAGAGCCGCGCUGCACCGCGCAUAGCCGCACAGGCUGACAGGCAGAAGGACCGACUUCCCUCUCCCGGGCAUCCUUCCUGGGCUGCCGGGAGGCGGCGGCGGCGGCGGCGGAGGAGGAGGAGGAGGAACGCGGGGAGAAGGCGGAGAGCAGGAACGCGAGGAGGAGGAGGAGGACCUGGAUCCGUUUCCUCCGGCCAGGACCCGAGCGGCCCCAGCCACCGCUACCCGGCGCCGUCCGCUCUCCAUCAGCCCUCCUGCGCCCACCGGCGACCCCGGGCUCUCUGCGCGUCGGGCCGGGGCCGGAGCGGCGCGGCCGGAGGGCUCUCCGGUGGCUGUGCUGUGAGACAGAUCAGGAGACCAAGGUUGUCCUUGCAGCUGGGAUCCUGGGUUCCUUAG
rnacentral:lncRNA from 1 species